UACGUAGGGUGCAAGCGUUGUCCGGAAUUAUUGGGCGUAAAGAGCUCGUAGGCGGUCUGUCGCGUCGGAUGUGAAAACUCGGGGGCUCAACCCCGGGCCUGCAUUCGAUACGGGCAGACUAGAGUUCGGCAGGGGAGACUGGAAUUCCUGGUGGUAGCGGUGAAAUGACGCAGAUAUCAGGAGGAACACCGGUGGCGAAGGCGGGUCUCUGGGCCGUAACUGACGCUGAGGAGCGAAAGCGUGGGGAGCGAACAGG
rnacentral:rRNA from 1 species